rnacentral:rRNA from 1 species
CGCGAUAAGUAGACCGCCUGGGGAGUACGGCCGCAAGGUUAAAACUCAAAUGAAUUGACGGGGGCCCGCACAAGCGGUGGAGUAUGUGGUUUAAUUCGAAGCAACGCGAAGAACCUUACCUGGCCUUGACAUCCUGCGAAGUUUCUAGAGAUAGGAAUGUGCCUUCGGGAACGCAGAGACAGGUGCUGCAUGGUUGUCGUCAGCUCGUGUCGUGAGAUGUUGGGUUAAGUCCCGCAACGAGCGCAACCCUUGUCCUCAGUUACCAGCACGUUAUGGUGGGCACUCUGGGGAGACUGCCGGUGACAAACCGGAGGAAGGUGGGGACGACGUCAAGUCAUCAUGGCCCUUACGGCCAGGGCUACACACGUGCUACAAUGGUGCAUACAGACGGUUGCCAAGNUGUGAAGUGGAGCUAAUCUGAGAAAGUGCAUCGUAGUCCGGAUUGGAGUCUGCAACUCGACUCCAUGAAGUCGGAAUCGCUAGUAAUCGUGAAUCAGAAUGUCACGGUGAAUACGUUCCCGGGCCUUGUACACACCGCCCGUCACACCAUGGGAGUGGGUUGCUCCA